rnacentral:rRNA from 1 species
CCUACGGGAGUCAGCAGUGAGGAAUAUUGGUCAAUGGACGAGAGUCUGAACCAGCCAAGUAGCGUGAAGGAUGACUGCCCUAUGGGUUGUAAACUUCUUUUAUAUGGGAAUAAAACGUUCCACGUGUGGGAUUUUGUAUGUACCAUAUGAAUAAGGAUCGGCUAACUCCGUGCCAGCAGCCGCGGUAAUACGGAGAAUCCGAGCGUUAUCCGGAUUUAUUGGGUUUAAAGGGAGCGUAGGUGGAUUGUUAAGUCAGUUGUGAAAGUUUGCGGCUCAACCGUAAAAUUGCAGUUGAAACUGGCAGUCUUGAGUACAGUAGAGGUGGGCGGAAUUCGUGGUGUAGCGGUGAAAUGCUUAGAUAUCACGAAGAACUCCGAUUGCGAAGGCAGUUCACUGGACUGCAACUGACACUGAGGCUCGAAAGUGUGGGUAUCAAACAGGAUUAGAUACCCCGGUAGUC